CCUACGGGGGGCAGCAGUGGGGAAUAUUGGACAAUGGGGGCAACCCUGAUCCAGCAAUUCCGCGUGUGUGAAGAAGGCCUGCGGGUUGUAAAGCACUUUCAGUAGCCAAGAUGGGAUUAUUCAUUAAUACUGGAUAGUCUUGACAUUAACUACAGAAGAAGCACCGGCUAACUCCGUGCCAGCAGCCGCGGUAAUACGGAGGGUGCGAGCGUUAAUCGGAAUUACUGGGCGUAAAGCGCAUGCAGGCGGUCUGUUAAGCAAGAUGUGAAAGCCCGGGGCUCAACCUCGGAACAGCAUUUUGAACUGGCAGACUAGAGUCUUGUAGAGGGGGGUAGAAUUUCAGGUGUAGCGGUGAAAUGCGUAGAUAUCUGAAGGAAUACCGGUGGCGAAGGCGGCCCCCUGGACAAAGACUGACGCUCAGAUGCGAAAGCGUGGGGAGC
rnacentral:rRNA from 1 species